GCCUCCAUAGUUAAAUGGUAUCAACAUCGUUCUUGUAAUUCGAAGUCGGGAGUUCGAUUCUCUCUGGAGGCA
rnacentral:tRNA from 1 species